UUUUCCCUUUCCCGCUCUCCCCCUCCCAUAGCUGGGGCCCACCGUCCCCUCCCCCUUUCCAAUCCCAGAAGAAGCCAUCGUGAUUGCCUUUUGGCAGAAGCUCUCUUGGGCAAGGUUGCAUUCUAAUUUUUGGACUGUGUUCACUAGGUUCUUUCACGUUGCGAGGAACAGAAACAGGCCCAGAUCCCCUGAAAUAAUGGGAAUUUAUUGCAAUAAUUCACGUGGAGUUAAGAAAGAUAGGGAUCUCGUAACCCAGCCCAGCUUCGUGGAAACACUGCGGCCUCCCUUCGGGGGCUGGAACACAGGCUCCCGGCGCCUCCCCCUUCUGUCUGGCUGACUCCUUUCCUUCCCCCGCGGACACGCAUCCCCCUCCCCCGCAGUGGCGGACUGCGCAAGAUGUCCCUCCGUUGUGGCCCUGGAAUUUUCUGCGCGUCUUUGGAUCCUAGCCCUGAUCCUGUUGCGUUGGUUUGCUUGGUGGCUUAGGUCCCCCUCUGCACCUUCAUUAUAUUUACAUCUUUGCUGACUCCUAACCCUUCGCUCUCUAGGACCCACCGGCCUCUUCUGGAAGGGCGCCGUAGUUCCCUGGUGGAAGGAUCGAGAAAGGGCACUUGCCGAGUCCAGCUCUCAGAGCAGAAUCCGCUGUGCCAAGUGACUCCCUCAGAGGAAAGCCACUAAUGAACUAAACUCAGUAGAGACUCACCCUGCACACGCCCCUGAACCCUCGUCUCCGUCCCACCUGAGUUCCCACCAGGAGAGUGAAUCUUUCUGCAAAGCGGCUUGAGGCCGACAGCCUUCAGCAGCAGAAGGGCUGCUGUGCCGUGCAGACCUGAAUGGGAAUUAGGACGCUUCAUGGUUCCCUAUGGUGACUCUGACUCAACUUGGGUAAUAUCAAGCAUCGUCCUAAUGGUCCCAAUCCCCUCAUUGUGACUGGAGCCCCCCACUCCCCAGUGAUGUGCCAGUGUGAAAACCCAGGGGCGCCACAAACGAAGCGCUGGUCUGCGAUACAGCCCCCUGCAUGGUCAGUCUGUGUCCCCAGAGCCGUUCCCACCAGCCGCAGGGCGGGGAGCCAGUGAGCUGGCUCUCCAGAAAGAAUAGGUCACGGAGCCCCAGAAGGACAGGACGUUUGUCUUUGUUGGAAUGCAUUGUCCUCAGCCUGUCUUCAGUCUUUCUUAGAGAUAGAGAUAAAGAUAGAGAUAACAAGUGUAUCAAAUCAGUACAUUGUACACCUUAAACUUUACGAUGCUACGUGUCCAUUAUAUCUCAAUAAAGCUGGAAAAAAGACGUAUAGAUUUAGACACACACACACUAACUGUUAACACUAUAUUAAUACUGAGAUUCUGCAAAAAACUGAAUAUAAAAAAGCAGAGGUGGCUCCUACUAAAAAAAAAUUUGAAACCACAGUUCCACAUGACUUUUUUUCUGCCUAUGGUACGUCUCCCCCUCCUGCCAUCCUGCCACCCCGCCCCUCCCCACUCCCACCUCUGCCCCUCUAACAUUAACACAGGUAAAAUACUUGCCUUGGGUGGCAGGAAACUCACAUUUAAGUGAACUAAGCAAUUAAGUGUAUUUAGUGAUUGGAGCCGUAACUGAUUUCAGGUGCAUCUUAAGUUUUUCAAUACAAGUAAUACAUGUUUAUUGUGGAAAUUUUAAAAACACAAGUAAGCAAGAAAAACAUUUAAAACAUUGAAGCACCCCAAUCUUGCCAUUCAGAAGUUACUACUAUUAAAAUUUUAAAUUCCAGUGGAUACUUGCACGUGUAUACGUGUACAUGUAUGGGGGACCAAUUGAGAAUGAUGAACUUGGGGUCCCCACAAGCUCAUCUGGGGCUGGAGAGAGCUGGGAGGUUGAUGCUGGAUGCACGGAGGCAUGGGGUCAGGCAGGCCUGUAGAAAUGAGGUCAGCAGGACCACUGGCAUGGCCUCUGGUCCCCAGCCUGCCCUUGAGCCACAGUUCAGCCCCAUGGAACAGCCCCUGUUCAUCUUCCUAGUUCUCUGCAGAAACCAGCAUGACCCCACGCAGCACAGGACCAAGGCAAGUGUUUGCAGUAAAGUGAGCAUGAGGCAGGCAUCUGGGGCAGACCUCUCAGAGGCACCCGCGGCAAGAGCGGGGCUGGGAUGGUCCUCACGCACCUCUGCAAGUGAUGGAAACCUAGAAGCCAGAGCGAGAAUUUGAGGGAUCCUGGUCCAAACGGGUGGGAAACACCCUCCAGUCCCUUCAGAGAUAGCUGGGGGAGAUUGAGGAGGAAGGUGCUACCAUUUCUCAAAUGACGGCCACCAGCCAAGGGAUUUUGAACAAUUACAAUUCAUGUGACUUCAUUUUUUUCCAAAAACUGGUGAAGCCUGGGAGAGCUAGUGUUUAUAUAUAUUUUUAAAUAUAAAAUUGGAUCAUACCGUAAUGUGAUUAGUAAACUGGGUUUUUUUUUGCUUAACAAGAUCUCAUGAAUAUUUUUUUCACGUAGGUCAAGAGAUCACAACAACAAUGUUUUUCUAACUGUUUUCUAUUGUUUUACCAAAUUCUAGAGACCAAUGAAGGCAUUUCAGGGCCCCUACAGAAGAGAGUAGAUUUUGCAGGUGGAAGGAGAAGAUUAUGAAUUCCUACCCCCAGUUCACCAAGAAUAGUCUACUUUUGGGGCCGGCCCAGUGGCAUAGUGGUUAAGUUCAUGUGCUCUGCUUCGGCCACCAGGGGUUCAUGGGUUUGGAUCCCAAGCACGAACCUACACACCACUCAUCAAGCUGUGCUGUGGCGGCGUCCCACAUACAAAAUAGAGGAAGAUUGGUAACAGACGUUAGCUCAGGGCCAGUCUUUCUUACCAAAAAAAGAGAAUAGUCUACUGUUAACAGUUCUAUAUAUUAGGAUUCUAUGAAAGACUGAAUAUUAAAAAGAGGAAGUGUCCACUGCUAGAAAUAAUUUGAAACCACAGUUCUGAGUGAUUUUUUUAAUGCUGUAAAGCAUUUCAUUGUGCAGAUAAAUGAUAAUGUAUUAAUCAAGCCUCUGUUUUUGGACAUUUAGGUUGCAUGUAAGUUAGGAGUUGUGUUCAAAUCCAAAUGUCACACUCCUGAGACACAAUCACUUAAACAAAUUAGGGUUUUCUUUUUCUCAUAUAAUGAAAAGUCUGGAAGGAGACAGUGCUGACAUCGGGUCAGUGGGUAAUGGAUCUCCAACAUCCCAUCAGAGUUCCAGGCAGGAUACAGGGGAAGAGGGGGCAGAGGUCAUAGGUCAGAAGGGGGCUGGUAACUGAGUUGAUUGCCCUCAUCAAGUUUUCCUGGAGAUGCCUCCCAGUGACCUGUGCUUACACCUCACUGUCCAUCCUUUUGCCCAGAGUCCAGAAAAGGUUUUUAGCUAAGCACGCUGCUCCCCGUCUCCCCGCCUCCCCACAAAACUGGGAUUCUGUUAGCGAGGAAGAUUAGAAAAACAGCUAAACCAUUGUCUGAAAAUCCUUUUCAUUGUAUCUUUAAAGCUACAUCACACCCUACUUUUUAACUUAAGGUCAAGUCAUAGAAAUGAAAUUAUUCCUUUGGCUGAGGAUCUUUCCAAGACUUCUCAAACAAGUUGCCUUUUAGAAACCUUGUACUAAUUGACCUUCCCACCAGCAGCGUCUAAUAAAAAAGUAUCUCCUUCACAUAAA